UACGAAGGGUGCAAGCGUUGCUCGGAAUCACUGGGCGUAAAGGGUGCGUAGGCGGGUCUUUUAAGUCAGGGGUGAAAUCCUGGAGCUCAACUCCAGAACUGCCUUUGAUACUGAAGAUCUUGAGUUCGGGAGAGGUGAGUGGAACUGCGAGUGUAGAGGUGAAAUUCGUAGAUAUUCGCAAGAACACCAGUGGCGAAGGCGGCUCACUGGCCCGAUACUGACGCUGAGGCACGAAAGCGUGGGGAGCAAACAGG
rnacentral:rRNA from 1 species